rnacentral:rRNA from 1 species
GAUGAACGCUAGCGGAAGGCUUAAUACAUGCAAGUCGAGCGGUAGGUGGCUUCGGCCAUUGAGAGCGGCGCACGGGUGAGUAACGCGUACAUGACCUGCCUGUCAGAAGGGGAUAGCCCUGGGAAACUGGGAUUAAUACCCCUAUGGUAUUGAUAUUAUGAAUGAUAUCAAUUAAAGUUGAGGCGCUGACAGAUAGAUGUGCGUCUGAUUAGCUAGUUGGUAGGUAACGGCCUACCAAGGCGACGAUCAGUAGGGGGCGUGAGAGCGUGGUCCCCCACACGGGUACUGAGACACGGACCCGACUCCUACGGGAGGCAGCAGUAAGGAAUAUUGGUCAAUGCCCGCAAGGGUGAACCAGCCAUUCCGCGUGAGGAUGAAGGCCCUAUGGGUUGUAAACUUCUUUUAGAUGGGGAAGAAAAUGGCUAGAUGUAUCUGGUACUGACGGUACCAUCAG